CUUGGCGGCGCUAGGGAGUGUUGGGACGCGCUCUCCACAGUCCCUUUGAUGGGAAGUUGUGACACUAAAUGAAAUUGACAUCUGCCAAGAAUCCGAUUCAUGGAAAAUCAGUAAUGAAUAUGAGCAAGAUGGAGUGGUAGACUUUUUCACUACUUUGCCUACAGUAUACAAGCCAGAAUAUAAGAAGAGGAAAUAUGGAAAAGAGAUAAACAAGGAAACAAGCAAUACUGUAAGUUGUCACAUGAGAAAAUGAAAAUAUUGAUGCGGUCAGCUGUCAUCUUCUUAGAUACUUAUUUACAAAGCAGUAAUGCAGUAAAAAUGAUACUCUGUUCAGGAGUGAGACUGCUGGGAUGUCCUGUCCCACCUCACGAUAAAAAAGACAGAAAAAAUAGGAGGAAAAAUCAUGUAGAGUUAAUUUUAUGAAGAUUCUGUACAUACAAUCAGACAUGAGAGCCUAGAGGAACAGUUAACAAGGUAAUUCCAAGCUUAAAAAAUGCUUCAGUAAUUCAAAAAUAUUUUUUUCAAUUGUUAUAUUCAUAUAGACACAA